CAAGUCGCACGAGAAAGUGGGGCAACCCAUGAGUACAGUGGCGUACGGGUGAGUAACACGUGGAUGAUCUACCUUCUAGUGGGGAAUAACCCUGGGAAACCGGGGCUAAUACCGCAUAAGCUCGAGAGAGGAAAGCAGCAAUGCGCUGGAAGAGGAGUCCGCGGCCGAUUAGCUAGUUGGGAGGGUAAAAGCCUACCAAGGCAGAGAUCGGUAGCCGGCCUGAGAGGGCACACGGCCACACUGGCACUGAAACACGGGCCAGACUCCUACGGGAGGCAGCAGUGGGGAAUCUUGCACAAUGGGGGAAACCCUGAUGCAGCGACGCCGCGUGAGCGAUGAAGCCCUUCGGGGUGUAAAGCUCUUUCGGCAGGGAAGAUGAUGACGGUACCUGCAGAAGCAGCUGCGGCUAACUACGUGCCAGCAGCCGCGGUAAUACGUAGGCAGCGAGCGUUGUUCGGAGUUACUGGGCGUAAAGGGUGUGUAGGCGGUUGUUUAAGUUUGGUGUGAAAUCUCCCGGCUCAACUGGGAGGGUGCGCCGAAUACUGAAUGACUUGGAGUGUGGGAGAGGUGAGUGGAAUUCCUGGUGUAGCGGUGAAAUGCGUAGAUAUCAGGAGGAACACCGGUGGUGUAGACGGCUCACUGGACCAUAACUGACGCUGAGACACGAAAGCGUGGGUAGCAAACAGGAUUAGAUACCCUGGUAGUCCACGCCCUAAACGAUGCAUAUUUGGUGUGGGCAGUUCAUUCUGUCCGUGCCGGAGCUAACGCGUUAAAUAUGCCGCCUG
rnacentral:rRNA from 1 species